GGGUUUUGAUUUUGUUCAUUUUUUUUCUAUGUAUUUAGAAAAAAAUUAUUAAAAACGACUAGUGAGAAAGACAUUAGAAUUAGGUAAAACAUUCUCUUUGCCAAACCCAAGUGGUGUUUUAAGGCCUUGAGAUUUGUGCUUUCAGUUCACUGAAUUCUUUCUGCUGACUAACAGACCAGUCAGAUAAACACUCCUCUAUCACUGAAGAUAGAAACAGGCAUGGAAAACCAAGGAAAAUCUUCAAAAGACCUGAAAAGGGCCAGCCUCGAAUGGGUGUUGUAAAGGACACCAAGGGACAGAUAGCAACAGCACUAAAGAUGAUCAGAUGAGGAUGGAAGGAGCAGGGCCAGCUCUAGAAAUUUCAGCAAAUUCUGGGCAAAGUUAUAUUCUUGAGUCUUUUCUGACAUAGACAUGAUGAUACAUAAUAAUUUGGAAAUUAAAGUGGUUCGAGUUGAAUCAGUGAUUAUCAGCUGCUGUCCUGUUACUGAAAUAAGAUGAAAAUUAUUAAACAACAUCACUAUAACAUAUAAUAGCUGAUUAUACUCUUUAACAGAAUAUACAUUUUGGGGUUAUUCCAUUAACUAUAAUAAGUAUAUUUCAGGUAGUAUCAAAGUAUCAGAGUUGUUGGGAGUCCGCUGCCAUUUAAAUUUAAUAAAUUGUUUAAUCAGUGGACAUUUAUAAGGAAAGGAAUCUUACGUGUUGUUUGAAUUCUUUUAAGUACUUUGAAAUAAUUCAAUGAAAAUUUGAGUAUUUCAAUUGUAAAUUUCAAAUUAAUAUUGACAUUAAUAAAUAGUUAAGUGUUGCAGAGAAUCUAUAGGGAAUAAUAAAUAUUGUUAAAAUGAGUGUUACUUCAAGACUGUUACUUAACAUUGGAAGAAUUCUUGUGUUGUUUUUUGUUAGGUAUUUAACAUAUUUUGAUACGAUGUUGAGAAAGGUUCAAUAGGACAAACUUGGAGGUUAUUAUUGAAAUGACAACUUAAGAAAAUUGGGGCAGCGGGUGGAGACCGACUUUCCCAAUUUCCAUUUCCAUCAUUGUGCUUACAUUUUGAACUUUUUGCUGUGGAAUCUAAGUGAUUCUCCCCAAAGAAUUGUGAGCACUACUAGAAAAUUAUUAUUUGACUCUGCAGGUGACUUGCAAGGUUUUGACUUCGGUAUCAAGCAACAGUGAGCUCUUCAACAUUAAAAAAGUUUAAGAUAUAUAUGGGAUAAGCCUCAGAAGGAAGUUUAAUUCCUAUGAGAAAUUGUGGUAACGGGGAACCUUGAUUUAUGACCAGAAUUUCUAUUGUUAAAUGAGGCAGUUGUAAAAUGAGACAUUGUGUGACCAUAAUCCUGGCCCUUCCAGCUGCCCUUUUUAACCAAGAAUUGUGGAUCAUAAGUGGGAGGAAGCUUCCAGUGAGGAAGAGUGCCACGCACAAGUUUGGGGGUGCUGCAAAGCCCUUAAAAUCGGACUUUUAAAGAGAAUCCCGAAAGUGGACAGAAGGGGGUUUGUACAUCUUCAUCCUAGGUACCAGUUAAGGUGUUCCUAGAUCAGGAAGUGUUAUUGAUGGUUAAUCAUACUUUUUAUUUGGAUUGGUGCAAUUCACUCUACGUGGGACUGCCCUUGAAGACCAUCUGGAAAUUCUGGCUGCUCGUCAAUGCGGCAGUGCAAUUAGUAACAGGCUCAGCUAGGUUUGGUAUGUGACAUCACCACUUCAGGAAUGGCACCAGCUUUCAGUCGGUUUCUGAGUGCUUAUUGUUCUGCUUGAAAACUUCAAAGCUCUUCAAUAUCCAAAUUUCUCUUGACAUGGGGUAUGGUAACAUCAGUUUGCCAAUGAUACUCAGUCAUACAUCUCUACCCAGGGCGAGCCACAUAAUGCCAUUGAGGUCCUUCCUCAGUGCCGGAGGCUGUGAAGGUCAGGAAGGGGGGUGGGGAAAGAUCUUAGUUAAAUCCUGUCAAAGAUUGAGUAGCUGUGAGGUCCCUGCGUCAGGCACGAAAGACCAGGACCACAGGAAUCUUCUCAAAUAAAGGUUAGCACCUGCUUGGAAUUAGUUAAGGGUCAAUGGCAUUCAAAAGGGAUUAGACCGAGUUUGCUUAUGGCUAAUGGCUACGUAGGGACUCUAGACUGAUCCCUCUUUUUUACUCUGCUCCCAGAUUCUGCCCUCCUGCACCCUGGCUCUGUUGAUUUUCCCUCGUUAUCUCUGCCUGGAGGUGCACUCCUCCAAGUCAGAGUGGAGGCACAAUUUGGGUUUCUCUUGGACUCACUGCUCCUGCCCAAAGAGCAGGUGGCUGUUGUGACAUGUCACUACCUAGACUAGGUAACAUCAUCAGUGCACUACAAGAAAACGAGAGAGCACAGAGAGCACCAAGGACCCCUCAUGUCAACCCUGAGCUACAGAUAUUCUCCUUUAUUAAUAAAAAGAUGAGGACCAGCCUUCAGAUGUUACCUUGACUUCACCAUCCUUGGUCAAACUUUGGCUAUUUGCAGGCUCUUAAGAAAUAGAAUAAGCAGUAAUUUUUGCUUGUCUCUUUUGUGGUUUACUUAGCCCAAUUUCCUGUAUUAGAGGUUGCAAACCAAGUUGGUUGUAGCCACUACAAGUGAGAACCAUUAUGUAUAGUAACUUGUAACUCUGUCUCUUCAUUUAAUUUAGCAUAUUGUCUGUCUAUUAUGCAAUAUUUAUUAUAUAUUUUAUUUGUUAAUAAAAAAUUAUGUCAGGUUUA